AUUGUGAAUAACCGAAGCACCACGGAUCAAAAAACUAUUUACACUACUACAACAUCGAAAAUAUCAUGAUGAGUGAGUAGACAUCUAAGUGACUUCUCUUACUGAUCACACUCGGUAUCUUUAUUCUUUAAUAAAUACUUGCACUCUCACUCCAAUAUCUCCACACUAUAGACUCAAGACUCAUCUAUCCAUAAAGAAGUAAUUCAUACACCAACUUAUCUGAAUCGAUCACUGUCUCCAUGAUGAUCCC
rnacentral:lncRNA from 1 species